GGCUGAAGAUCUUUUGGAAGAGGAAAGCCUCUCGGCUAGAGAAGUGGCAGCUACCAUCUUAAGGGGAUGUUACAUGAAGAGGUCUGGGAGUGCAAGUGUAGGCCAUCACCUUGAGCUGGAGUUGGUGGUUCAUCAUUUGGACACAUCAGCUUCUGGUUUUAAUCUUCUGUGGAGAUGUGCUGAACGGAACAGCUGGCCUAUAAUUGGGAGAGAUUGAUGCAGACA